rnacentral:rRNA from 1 species
UACGUAGGGUGCAAGCGUUAAUCGGAAUUACUGGGCGUAAAGCGUGCGCAGGCGGUAACCCAAGUCAGAUGUGAAAUCCCCGGGCUCAACCUGGGAACUGCAUUUGAAACUAGGUCACUAGAGUGUGUCAGAGGGGGGUAGAAUUCCACGUGUAGCAGUGAAAUGCGUAGAUAUGUGGAGGAAUACCGAUGGCGAAGGCAGCCCCCUGGGAUAACACUGACGCUCAUGCACGAAAGCGUGGGGAGCAAACAGG